AACGAACGCUGGCGGCGCGCCUAAUACAUGCAAGUCGAGCGAGAAGACGUAGCAAUACGUUUGUAAAGCGGCGAACGGGUGAGGAACACAUGGGUAACCUACCCUAGAGUGGGGAAUAACUAGCCGAAAGGUUAGCUAAUACCGCGUACGCUCCUUGGACUUCGGUACAGGGAGGAAAGCGAUACCGUGGGUAUCGCGCUCUUGGAUGGGCUCAUGUCCUAUCAGCUUGUUGGUGAGGAACGGCUCACCAAGGCUUCGACGGUAGCUGGUCUGAGAGGACGAUCAGCCACACUGGCACUGCGACACGGGCCAGACUCCUACGGGAGGCAGCAGUGGGGAAUUUUGGGCAAUGGGCGAAAGCCUGACCCAGCAACGCCGCGUGAGGGAGGAAAUCCUUCGGGAUGUAAACCCUCACAAGCAAGGGAAGAGAGCUCAGGGCCGAAUAAGCUUUGAGUCCGACGGUACCUUGCGUAAGCCACGGCUAACUACGUGCCAGCCGCCGCGGUAAC
rnacentral:rRNA from 1 species